AGCGACCAUUGGCGGCAGGCUUAACACAUGCAAGUCGAGCGAGGCGUAAUAGUCGAGCGGCGAACGGGUGAGUAAUACAUGGGAAUCUACCUCGAAGUGGGGGAUAACAGCCAGAAAUGGCUGCUAAUACUGCAUAAACCGGGAACGGGCACGCGCGCUGCGCUUUGAGAUGAGCCCAUGGAUGAUUAGCUAGUUGGUGGGGUAAAGGCCUACCAAGGCGACGAUCAGUAGCUGGUCAGAGAGGAUGAUCAGCCACACUGGAACUGAGACACGGUCCAGACUCCUACGGGAGGCAGCAGUGGGGAAUCUUGCGCAAUGGGGGCAACCCUGACGCAGCCAUACCGUGUGUGCGAUGAAGUUCUUCGGAUUGUAAAGAACUUUCAGUAGGGACGACGAUGACAGUACCUACAGAAGAAGUCACGGCUAACUUCGUGCCAGCCGCCGCCGUAA
rnacentral:rRNA from 1 species